GCAGUAUGUAAACUUGGGGGGAUGCAGAACAGGAGACUUGGAACGUCUGCGACGUGGAACUCUCGCCGAUCCUCUCGAAGGCUUUCUCACACACCUGUAGGGUUGUAAGGGGUCAAUAGAGAGAUCAGCUGCUGGUGGCAUACAAUCUCUGGCAGGAACAGUGGAGGAGUCUGAACGAACUGGAGCUCCCCUGAAGGAGAGAUGUGUAACAACCCCCGUUUUAAAGGUACUUCCCCCAAAAUCUUUUGUUGAAGGUGCCUGUCAUCCCAAACUGAGCUGUAACGCAGAACCUGGUAUCAGAUAGAGCUGCGGGCAGAAUAACACUGAAUAUCCAGGUACGUCAAAACAAAAAUAAAAGAACCCCAAAAGGUGGUGAGAGAAGGGUGCGAUCAUUUAAGACUUGAAGAGAAGGACCUCUGAGGAGAUUAGUGGAAAAGAAAGUUUUAGGUACCUUCUCUCUGAUAAGAGGCAGUAUUAUUAUUUUUUGUAAGUACUUGAUAAAAGCCUCUUAA